GCGAAUGCUCGUGAGGUAAAUCGAUUAAUGUUUUUGGUAAGCUGCAAAAUUUGGACUGCAAAGUGCAUGAUUUCUGUGCCCUCGAUAUUUUGGGGCUUAAUGGGCCAAAAUUGGAAUGAUGGGCCAACGGGCCCAAUUCGGAAAUCCCCAACCAUAGUGGGCUUGGAGCUGUGAGGGAAUUUGGAGUGGCCACCCGUUCUGAAAGUUUGAUUUUCUUCUGGUGAACUGGACAUCCUUUUAUUUACGUUUGAAGUUUUGGGUUUUUAAAUGUAAUAAGGCCGCUUAAUUAUUUUUGAUGGUUUUAAUAUGUAUUACUAAGAUAGGUAUUAACACGACAACAAGCAAAGCUUCCGCAAUGAAAGUAUUUUCCAAAA